rnacentral:rRNA from 1 species
ACUCAAAGGAAUUGACGGGGGCCCGCACAAGCGGCGGAGCAUGCGGCUUAAUUCGAUGCAACGCGAAGAACCUUACCUGGGCUUGACAUCACUUGAAAACUCGUAGAGAUACGGGGUCCUUCGGGGCUUGUGACAGGUGGUGCAUGGUUGUCGUCAGCUCGUGUCGUGAGAUGUUGGGUUAAGUCCCGCAACGAGCGCAACCCUUGUCCAAUGUUGCCAGCACGUAAUGGUGGGGACUCAUUGGAGACUGCCGGGGUCAACUCGGAGGAAGGUGGGGAUGACGUCAAAUCAUCAUGCCCCUUAUGUCCAGGGCUGCACGCAUGCUACAAUGGCCGAUACAAACAGUUGCGAGACCGUAAGGUGGAGCGAAUCUGAAAAAGUCGGUCUCAGUUCGGAUUGAGGUCUGCAACUCGACCUCAUGAAGUUGGAGUCGCUAGUAAUCGCAGAUCAGCAACGCUGCGGUGAAUACGUUCCCGGGCCUUGUACACACCGCCCGU